rnacentral:tRNA from 1 species
GGCGGUGUAGCUCAGAUGGUUAGAGCGACGGACUCAUAACCCGUAGGUCACAGGUUCGAUUCCUGUCACCGCCA